UAUACUAUUUCUGUGCCAAAAUAUUCAUCAAACACUUGUAUAUAUAAACCAAGAGCUAAAACUACUUCUAUUUUAAGACGGAAGGGUACUAAUAUUCUCGAAACCUUUACCACUAGCGUGAGCUGAACUGCUGAAGUAAAGCUACUACCAAGCCCUGUUAGAGAUGUGCAUUUUGACAUGAAGACUAGGAAUCGUCUAACUCUGUGUCUUGAUAUUGUUUACCCUUCGCUGCACUUGUGUAUUGGCGACUAGAACAACUCUGCAUAUGAACUUGCUGCUUGCUACGGCACCCAUUACAGCUGGUCGAGUGACCUCACUGGAGUGGAGCUGAACCUGCAUGCAUGGUCAAUAACUCAGUAUAUCAUGCCAAGUUAGGGCUUAUUCGGUUGGCUCUCAAUCCAUGUGGAUUGAGUGGGAUUGGAUGGGUUUGAAUCCCAGACAAGUCAAACGUCUUCACAAUUUUUUCCAAUCCCAUAUAAUCUAUGUGUAUUGGGAAUAACCGAACAAGCCCUUAUGGGCGUGGAGAUCCCAUGCAUGCAUAUGCAUGAACUACCAACUGUGGCCUCCUCUCCUCUCUUCUCCUCUCCUAUGUAGCUGGUGUGGGGGAAAAUGUGAACGGAUGUUCAGUUUUCCUCCCUUGAUUUUCGGCAACGCCGCCACUCGAGUCCUCGUCACUCAGUUUGUUUUGGUUUGCUGUCUAACUUAACAUAUUUUGUCUAACUUUUUCUUAGCAUAAGAGCAACUCCAGUAGAUUGUGAAAAAAGUCGGCCCGAAAAACCAGUUUUGAGGGAUACUAUAAUUUUUUCAUAGGCUAAAAGUAUGUACGCGCACAGCAGCUCCCUAAUAAACUAAUAGCCCAAUAUUUAAAAUAUGCCACGUCAAGGCUAUGGCCCAAAUGAGUUGAUGCUACGCCACCAGGAAAAAGGCGUCAAAUUAGCUGAUCUACGCCAUGGCCCAAAUUAGUGCUACUUUGUCCACGUGAUCGGAGAAACGACCACCACCGCUAGAAAAACUAGGGCAGAUUCAUUAUUUGUUGUGUGCGCCGCCGACAGAAAAAAGUAGGGCAAUUAGAAAAAGAAUAAUUGAUGAGUGGACAAAGCAGACUUGUUAAGCAGGUGUUGGAUUCAUCAUCCUCAGAUGACGAAGAAGAAUUCUUUUUCAAUGCCGCGCAUUUGAUCAUUGAUGAAGAUCAGUUUGAUGAAGAAUCGAGACGCCGCGGUUCUGUUCAUGGCCGUCAAACGGUUCGACGUAAUAGAGAGGAAGGACACGUGAGGCUAUAUCAAGAUUAUCUUGCAGAUUAUCAAACCUAUGGCCCAAGUUAUUUUAGGCGACGGUAAGGAAUCAAUUAUUCCACGUUGGUUAUCUUGAGUUGUAAUAAUUUGAUUUGAGUUUGAUUAAUAUAUAUAUAUAGGUUUCGAAUGCGGCGUACACUUUUUAUACGCAUUCUCAAUGCUGUCGAACAUCAUGAUGAAUAUUUUGUUCAAAAAAGAAACGCAGCCGGAAAGCUUGGGUUAUCUAGUUUGCAGAAGGUUACUGCUGCUUUACGGAUGCUAACUUAUGGAAUGGCAGCUGAUGCUACAGAUGAUUACAUUCGUAUUGGUGAGAGUACUGCUAUUGAGAGUCUACGAAGGUUUGUCACAGCUAUUGUUCAAGUUUUUGGAGAUGAGUACUUGAGAGAGCCCGACGAAUAUGACACUGCUAGAUUACUUGCAGUUAAUGAGAGUAGAGGUUUUCCAGGUAUGCUUGGGUCCAUAGACUGCAUGCACCGGAGGUGGAAAAAUUGCCCGUCUGCAUUGCAAGGUAUGUACUCCCUCCAGUGCAGUAAAGGUAGUCGUUUAGGACAUGAUUGUGCAUACCAAGGAGUGAUUAAUUAUCAUAGAGUUUUCCCUGUUUGCCCCUAUUAAAUAGGGAUAUGGGUGCAUUAACGUCACUAAAACAAUCAGGCUUGAUUGGUUGCUGCAGCAGCUUCAAGGCAUUCUAGACUGGAGGUCUCAAGUUCGAUUCCUCUUAAAUGCAUCUUUUUUUGUGCAAUUACUAGGGGCAACAACGUCCAAAUCCCAGACCCACGCGCGCUAUGACUUCUUUUUGUGCACGCUCGGUCACGCGCAGGAUGACUUCUUUUACUGCACCGGAGGGAGUAUAGUGGACAUGUGCAUGAACCCACAAUUAUACUAGAAGCAGUGGCUUCUAAAGAUCUUUGGAUUUGACAUGCUUUCUUUGGAAUGCCUGGGUCGCAUAAUGACAUCAACGUAUUGCAACGAUCUUCGAUUUUUGCAAGGCUAGCAGAAGGGCAAGCUCCAAAGGUGAAUUAUAUUAUCAAUGGUCAUGAGUACACAAUGGGUUAUUAUCUUGCAGAUGGUAUAUAUCCUUCAUGGGCGACGUUUGUGAAGACCAUACCAGAGCCACAAGGUAUGAAGAAAAAAUAUUUUGCUGAAGUCCAAGAAGCCUGUAGGAAGGAUGUGGAACGUGCAUUUGGUGUGCUACAAUCUCGUUUUGCUAUAGUUCGUGGGCUAGCUCGUUUUUGGGAUGAAGAGACACUUAAUAAAAUCAUGACAUCUUGUAUAAUUAUGCACAACAUGAUAGUUGAGGAUGAGCGAGAUGAACACGAUGACUUCAAUUAUGACACUAUGGGUGAAAAUGUUAAAAUUUCCCAUGAAUCCACACCUGAUCUGGAUGAGUUUAUUGCAAAUUACCAGACAAUUAAAGAUCGAUCAACGCACACACAACUUCAGGAUGACCUUGUUGAGCACCUAUGGAAACACUAUGGAGAUCAGAAUUGAGGGAUAGACUUAGUUGUAUUUAGCAUUAUUAUUUUUAUUUGAAAACAAUGAAAAAACCAAAUGCCUACUUGAUUCAAGAUAUCUGCAUGAUCUGUUUCAGCUAUUGUACUACAGCUAGCUCUCCUAAAGCUACUGUACUUCAUGAGAUCCAUACGAUUUGUUUCAGCUACUGUACUACAAAGGAAACUCUUACUCCUGUGAGAAAUACAAAGGAAUAGAAAAUAAAAAAAAUGUGUGGGCGACAUUUCUGUAGCAAGACGUCUAGAAUUCAAGUCAUGCUUUCUGCAGAGCAAGACAUUGAACAAUAGCUGUGAUAAAAAACACCUGAUGUUUGAAUUCAUCUGUACACUGGCCUGCUUUCCACAGAGCAAGACGUUGUUUUACAGAUAAUAGUACACUGACCUGUUUUUGUUGUCCAGUAUUGAGAUGAUUUCCCAUAAGAAAAUGUGAACGACUAGUAUUUCUAAAUGUAAACAAACACCUGAUGUUUGAAUUAUAUAUGACAAGCUAGUUGUGCAGUAUCCAAUUACAUAUUGCCAAAAGAAAGAAACCUAAAAUCGCAGUGAUAAAAACAGCAAACAUUUUAGCUAAAAAAUAAGCAAAGCUAGUUGUGUAUUAUCCAAUUACAUAGCACCAAAAGAAAGAAACCUAAAUCUAUAGUGAUAAAAAGCAAACAGUUUAGCUAAAGACUAAUCAACACCUAAUGUACCAUGUAACAUUAGGCAUUUUCAGACAAUAUCUUAGAUCGUAGUCUCAUGUAAUAUUGCUUCUGAUCAGCAGGCAUGACACUAAGGUCUAGUGUCAUAAUCCUCUCUUCUUCCCUCUUCUUAUGUUGUUCAACUUCUUGCUGCCUCAAUUCUAGCUCUUUACUCCUUAACUGCAUAUUUAAUUUCUCAUUCGCAGCCCUCUCUUGUUCAACUGCUAAUGCUAAUCUAAACCUCUCGUCUUUUUUCAUUUCUUUAAAUUCAUCUGUUUCUUUCUUCUUUUCAAAUAAUUUGUUUAAAGUUUCUGUGUAGCCUUUCUUUUCAGCUUGAAAUGCUGCUGCUUUGGCCUUCUUCUUUCCAGGUGGUCUUGUUGUGACAGUCUCAUUUGGAGUUGUAGGCUCGCUUGUUUCGGUGGCACUUGGUAAAUGUGGAGGUGAGGUUUCAUUUGAGUUCAUCUUUUGCUUCUUAUUAGAUGACUUGCCAACAGCCAAUUCUUCAAGUUUCAUCUCCCAUUUACGCUGUGUCCGCAACUUAUUCCAACAAUGCAUAUAUGGAAAAGCUUUAUGUUGCUUAUCUUCAGACUUAUAUAAAGCACACGCCUGUGUAAGCUGCACAUAGCAAGAGGAGAAUAUUAAUUUGUGAAGUACACAUAUAUAGACAAUAUGUGAAGGUUGUGCAAAACAAAUCAUUACCUUGUCUUGCAUUGUAGCACCACUUUGCCUUCUUCUCUCAACCUGAGCAAGGCAUCCAGUAAACCUGUUUACACCUUCUUGUAUGCUGGUCCAACGGUGCAUAAUAGAGUUCUGGCUACGGGUUGAGGAGAAGGUCUUAUUGGCAUGAAAGUAGUCAUAAAUUCUAGUCCAAUAUGAACUGCGAGUUUGAUUAUAACCAAUAAUUGGAUCCAAACUUAUGUUAAGCCAUGCAGACACCAAAAGCUCGUCUUCCACGUCACUGAAAUUCUUUGACCUCUUAUGGUUCGGUCUAGCAGAGGGUGCAUAAGUGUUUACUUCGACCCUUUGUGGUUGUUCCUCAGGAUACAAGUCAACUAAAUCGUCAUAGUCUUGUGGAUUUGUGCCUUCACUUAGGAGGCUGGUAUAGUAUCCUGCUAAUGGUACACAAACAAGCUAAUAAAUUAGCAGAAUGUUUAGUUCCAGUCCUACUUAUUAUUUCCUGAAUGUUAAGUUUCAAUCCUAAUACAACAUAAUGUAAUAUAUAUGUUCAAACUUCAAACAAAAGCUAAUGGUUUUAUCUCGCCUCUUGGGCAGCACGAAGUGAAACCUCUUGCUGUAGUAGUGCAGAUCACAUGCCGACCCCAGCCUAAAAACAUCAUCCUGGCAGUGCUAAUAGUUUUAUCUAACAACUAAAUAAUCGAUGGCAUCUACUACUUAGCACUCUGCCACGUCUUAGUAGACUGAAACACCAUCUGAAACAUAUGUAAUUAAAGGCACAAAUCUGAAGCAGUACCAAUUCCUAAUCAAAGUUUUGGAGAAACCAUGGCCAGAUCUAGAUCCAAAUACAUAUAUAUAUCAAGGUUUGGAGGUUUCAUUUCACACUGGAUGAAGGGAAUAGGUGCACGUACCUGUCGUAUGUUCAUCACCGACGAGAUCCGCGCCAACGCUAGAGGAGGAGAGGAGUGCUGCUUAACUAGUCUUAUCCAUUUGCUUCUGCACGCAGGGAGGACAAGCAGCAACUGACAGCGUCAAGAGGUAGAGAUGACAGAUAGAAAGUAGGAUGGCAGAGGAGCAAGAAGCCAGGAAAGUCACAGACCAAAAUAGCAGCCCGGGAGAAGCUAGAUUUGUGCGCGAGAAAAAAGAAGUCACACACCAAAAUAGCAGCCCGGGAGAAGCUGUGUGCGCGGGAAAAAAGAUUGGGGCCUUCCCACCUCCCGCACAAAUGAGGGUCGUCAAGGGAUAUUUUCGGGCUGUGCUACUUUUCCAAAAUAUUUUGGGGAGCUGCUGAAGGAAUGAUUUUCCAUGUAACCCUCAAAAAUAUUGGCUUAGAGCUUCUUUUGGUCAUCUACUGGAGUUGAUCUAAGGUUAGUUCUUCAAUUCGGACGAGUUAACCAAACAGGCCCUCGUGAAUUCUGCACCGGAUUCUUCCAGCUCGACGAAGCUGAAAAUGUAUCCCACUUCUACGCAUUAUAAAUGUUGUCAUUUUGUUGUUGAGUUCGAGCUGUUCUUCUCCAAACUGUGAGCGGCAGUUCUCAUUUUUCUGAGACACCUCGACCGCUCUCCGAGCCGUUUUGCCUUACGUGUAUCCUACUGUACUAAGGCGAGUGCAGCAGGCGCCAAAAACAAACUGCCGACGAGGCAGGAUGAGUAAAAUUAAACAACGGCCGGGUGGGAGCCAACGCGAAAGCCAACAACAGGCUUGCAUUGCAGCAGCUCGAUCUCGAUCGACCAGGGGAUUCCUAGUUCACCAGGUGGCCUGCACUGCACAAACGCAAACAGAAUCUUGAGCGCCCCCAAACUUUUGGCAGCAGGAUGCAUCCACAUGCAGAUGGGUGUAUGUAUAUUCAUGUACUUUUGCUCUCUGACUGCAUCUUUUACCAGCUUUCUCAUCUGGUUCAAGAAUCUCUCGAUCUCUCCUGUGUUUCAGUCCGUGUGCAUAUUAACACACGGAUGGCAGGACUGAAAACUAGGGGAUGGAACCGGGAGUACUCAGCUGCUCUUGAUGUGGGGCGUGGGGAGGCUCCACUUCACGUGCAUGGCGAUGAUAUCGAUCGGCAUCAAGCUUUACACUAGUUCUGAUCCUGGUAUGGUACGUACGGUUCAUUUUUUAAAAAAUGUCGAAAAAAGAAGCUAAAGCAGUGCGUUGAAUAACAGAGGGAAAAUGAAUGGGUUGAUGAAGUGGCCAAACAACAACUAAUGCAAGAUUAUUGUAUUCGCAUACGUACGUAUAUGUACUAGAUAUCUGUUUUCUCUCGAUAUAUAUUCUUCCAGUUCAGUCUAUGUGAACAACUCACCUGAAGCUUGCAACAAGCACAGUCCAAGUGGAGUAGAUUAUAUUAGCAGGCGAUGAUGCAAGAUUCCUUCCCUGCAUCAUGUGCAUGCAUGCUAAUUAAUCAAGAGCAGCAGAUGCAGAUGGACCCAAAUUAACAGGCGGCAAUUGGCAGCACCCAAAGCUAGCUAUAGCCCAAUCAGGCAAUUAGUUUAUCCUGAAUAUGAACCACCACGCACAUGGUCCGAUUAGUUAGAAUGUCAACACGGCUAAUCGAGCUAGCAAACGUGAAAUCUGCUUGCAGGUAGCUGCAUUCCGCUAAUGGUCCGAUGGAAUCGAUGUAUCGAUGCAUGAAUGGAUGCAUUAAUUCCAUCGGACUAUUGGCGGAAUAUGCAGCUGCAAUUCUAACUAAUUUUCCUGUUUUUCUGCCUCUCUUAUGCUCUGUGUUCACAUGGUAGAGCAGCUAGCUAGGAGGUUAGAUGACGAGUACACAGUUUGUCAGUGUUGACAUUAUUAUAUUUCUAAUGAAAGCUUGGCACUUUGGCUCCUAAAUUAAUAAGAGUUUUUCCUUCCAUAUCAAAAAGUGCAAUUCAUGUUUUUUUUGGAGAAAUGAUACAAAACAAAUACCAUCAGAUUGAUCAUGAGAUGUAUUUUCAUACUAAGCUUAGUUGGUGACAUAAAUAUCAGCACCAUUUGUUAUUGACUUGAUCAAAGUGAAAAAUAAUUCUCUCACGCAAAUUGUGUAGUUGCAUUUUUAAGGGGACAGAGAGAGAGGAGUAUACUCCUAGUAACUAAGUUUAUGUAUGUAUGUAUGUUGUAUAAUGAUCCUGAUAUCCAAUCUAUACUAUACUUAAAGCACCAGUUUCAACGGUCGUCUCGCGUCAUCUUUUUAUAAAUAACCCCUCACAGCUAUUUCAAAUUAGUCUAUUGCACGCCAGACACCCCGCGGGCCACAACUCUGGCUCAGACACGUCAUGUCGGCCUGCUGACUGCGUCAGGACAGCCUGUUAGCCCGUCGACCCAUUUGAUUAAACCAGCGUAAAAUGUUAAAAAUGGUGCAGGAGAUAGGUUCGAACACAUGUCAUGAUGGAAGAAAGACGAGAGACACUAGGUACAAUUGUUUAACCAGUAGAAUAUUAUGCUCAGAUGUUUUUAAUAUUGAAUAUAAAUUAUAUAUAUGUAUAUACAUUUUUUGUGAAAUAAAAAAUAUAUAAUCGUAUCGGGCCGGACCUGCACUACGGGCCGAGGCUACAUCCCAAGCACGUCACGACAUUCUUGGCUCUUGCAAACAUUAGAUCGUUUCUGAGACCACAUUGGCGCAAUGGACUCCAUGGUGUUUGAGGUUGCUGAAUUGGAUGGAGCAACAAUAAUUUGUCACACUAACAGUAAAAUGAAAGGUUAUUUGUUAGUUUUAAACGUUAGUAAUUGCUACGAAGUAGCAUAAUUUAUAUGGAGCUAAGAAGUCACAUGAACUCAAACUUAUAAAAAAGAUAUAUCAAAAUAUGGAGUGAUUGCUAAAGUCAGACAUCAAUAAAAACUUUCUCUUAGGUCUCUGUAUGAUAGAAUUAUGUUAUUUUAUAAUCUAUGUUCGUUCAGUCAGUCAUUAUGAACUCUCUUCUAAUCGCUCACUUUAUUGGUCAUGUUAUAUUGGAUUGAGUAAAUAAUAACAUCAGUUAGCCAAAUUUUUUAAAAAAUAUUAUAGUGGAGACAAUCAAUAAAAAAUAUUAAAUUUUUUGGUGGAUACUUUAUAUGGAUAUUGUUGUAAGCCGUCGCAACGCACGGGCAAUCGACUAGUUUAAAUAUAUAUGCCAGUGUCAUACUAUUUUAGGCUAUUCCCAGUCCAAAAUAUUAUAGUCCAAUAUCCAAUAAUGCCACAUAGGAUGAAAAGUAUGAUACCGCUACAAGAUACACCUUCUGUAGUGUAUAGUAUUAUAGUUAUAUGUUUUAAUUAUUUAAUUGGUGUGAUGUUGUGUCUAUGAGAACGGACCCCAAGUAUUAUUUUUUGUGCCACAACCUAAGAUAUGGUGUCUGUCGGGGAGGAAAUCUCCCCGGCCGGGUGGCGAAUUGCACCCGCCCUAAAUCCUAAAGAGAGGAGGGGCCUAAGCGUUUUGCUUGCUACGAGACUGGUGGAUCAACACACGAGAGCACGCGAGGGUUUAGAGUGGUUCGGGCCGCCGGAGCGUAAUACCCUACUCCACUGUGUGAUGUAUUGCUUAGGAGCUUGUAUGAACUUGAGAGUGUCUGCCUAGAGUUGGGUCUCGUAACGUCGCAUGCAUCCCCUUUUAUAGCUGAAGGGGGGCAUGCACAAAGGCACUGAGCCCCGAAAUGUGGGUCCAGGGACAUAGAGAAUAUAACGCUUGGGACUAUAAAUAUUUGUUGUCGGGGCAAUCCCCUUGUGUCCUGUCGUCCGAGAUCUGUGGAUCUUCGGCGUGCAGGGGAAGAUUCUUGUAGAAGGGAUAACACAUUGUGCUGCUUGGCACGGACGCACUGUUCGCCAGCAGACCCAGCAGGCGCGCCACCUGCUGGAUGACCUUGACGCCGCCUGCCAGCGGAUGGGACGGGACACAUUAAAUGUUGAAAGGGCACGUCGCCCGUCAGCGCAGUGACAGGCGGCGCGUCCUCUCCUCAAUAAAUGCAGGGGCUACACGGCUUUACGUCAGGCUCGGCCCGAUGGCUUAUGUCAUGGGCCACAAGCAGCGGGCCUUCGCCUGGGCAGGGAGCAGAGAGCAAGGCCUGCACAUGUGUCGGCAUUGGACCCAUGUAUCCCCCAAGGUCCUUCUCGUUCCGGAACCCUGCCGGGGUUCGGACCUACCCUGGGGCUCCGGACCUUUAUGUAUAUAGGGGCCCGGUGACCCUCUAAGGGGGUUUGGUCUUACUGAGGCAUGGUGCCUUUCCUCGCCAUGUGACGCCCUUUGGCCCGCCCAUCCGGUGGAGUUAGGCGCGGUCCUCCGCGCGGCCAGGAGACGUCGCAGGGGUGCGAUGCCUUUAUGCUGUAGGAGAGGGUACCCCUGAUUUAGGGUACCGACAGUGGCCCCCGGUCCCGCCUCAGGGGAGGGUGCGAGCCUGCAUGUGGGACCAGAGUCUGUCUGGUGGUUGGACCGCUGCUUCCGUGCGCCUGUUGCUGCAAUUAUUGUCGGCCCGCUUAUGACCCCGCCAACUGCCGUGCCUAUUCUUACAGCUGGCUGAUCCGUGACUGUCGUACUUAACGACAUUGCUUGGCCAUGCGCGGGGCUGCCUCGAGUCGCUGCACUGGUUCUGAAAAAUUUACCUUUUCAGAAUUCGUGACAGUCCCGAGAAGACAAGGCAUUGGCGCAGGCGGCGAUGCGGCUUCUUUGCACACGGUAACCGGUGCGUCGGUUACAUGACGUGUGGGCCUGGGCCCCUGAGUUGGACCGCCAGUUGUGGCGGAGCUGAGGGAGCGCACAGCCAUGGGACGGUUGUACGCUUCUUGCGCGACGGUUUGCCUCUUUGACCGCUGGAUACGGCGAAGAUGAAAGGACGCUUAAUCGUGGGGCGGUUGCAUGCCCCUUGCACGGCGGUCCGCCUUCCUAACUGCUAGUUGCCCCGAAAAUGAAGGGGCGCGUAACCGCAGGGCAGUCGCACGCUCCCUCUUAGGGUCAGUUUGCAUGACAUGUGGGGCCUGGCCCCCAUGUCAUAAGGUGGGAUCCUUGGUGCACACUGGGGGAGACUUCACUCGUGACGCUUCAGGGGCGCGAGCGGGAAGAUCUGCCUUUAAAAAGGGGGUCGAUCUCCCGGUCAGUAGUCAUGCCUCGCUCCUCUUGCGACCACCGCACCCUUUCGCCUUCUGGGCCUCCAAAUGGUGUGCGCCGGUGUUCUCUGGAGGGAUCCGCGGCAAGGCCGUCUCUUCCGACGACUUCACCAUGGGAGAGCGUGCACUCGUGGUGGUGUCGCCGAUCUUGUCUUCUUUCCGCUGCUGUUGGAGGGGUGCAACCCCAUGGGAGUUGGUAUCCUUCUACCACCAUUUGGCUUCAAGGAUUUUCAUCAUGCAGCCCGGCUGUAGUCCCCCGCCGAUGGUCACCCAGAAGAAUGACCACCAGCCUCGUGGUGGGGAGAAGCAAGCCUGAAAGGGAAAUGUGCCCUUGGGCCAUUUCUAAGUAUUUUGGUGAUUUAGUGUCCAACACAAGUGCCUAAGUGUUAAAUGGUGGACAAAGUACAAAUCGAGUAUAAAGGUAUGUUUCUCAGACUUAGUACAUUGUUUUAGAGACUAAUGUAUUGUGUCUAAGUGCUGGAAAUAGGAUAAUCAAGUUGAAACUAAAGAUGGCUUUGUUCAGCCAAAGUCAGCCCUGUCUGGGUGCACCGGACUGUCCGGUGGUGCAACAGACAGUGUCCGGUGGUGCACCGGACAUUGUCCGGUGGUGCACCGGACAUUGUCCGGUGCGCCAGGCUAGCUCAGGCGAACUUGCUGCUCUCGGGAAGUGAUUAACAGCGUACGACUAUAAUUCACCGGACUGUCCGGUGUGCACCGGACUGUCCGGUGAGCCAACGGUCGGCCGGGCCAACGGUCGGCCGUACGAUCCGCGCGAGACACGUGGUCGAGCCAACGGUCAGAAGGGGGCACCGGACUGUCUGGUGUGCACCGGACAGUGUCCGGUGCGCCAACGGCUCUCAAGUGCCAACGGUCGGCUUCGCCAAAGAAGGAAAGAAAUCCGCACCGGACAGUGUCCGGUGGUGCACCGGACUGUCCGGUGCGCCAGGCGACAGAAGGCAAGAAUUGCCUUCUUGAAUUGCUCUCAAUGGCUCCUAGCUGCCUUGGGGCUAUAAAAGGGACCCCUAGGCGCAUGGAGGAGAACACCAAGCAUUCUCUAAGCAUUCCUAAGCACCAAGACUUCGAUUCCGCGCAUUUGAUUCUUUGUGAUAGCAAUUGGAGCUCUAUUUGAGUUGUGAACUCAUCGAGUUGUGUUGUGAGCUCUUGUUGCGACUUGUGUGCGUGUUGUCGCUCUGAUUUUGUGUCUUGUGUGCGUUGCUCAUCCCUUCCUUACUCUGUGCUUCUUUGUGAACAUCAAAGUGUAAGGGCGAGAGACUCCAAGUUGUGGAGAUUCCUCGCAAGUGGGAUAUAGUAAAGUGAAAGCAAAACACCGUGGUAUUCAAGUGGGUCUUUGGACCGCUUGAAAGGGGUUGAUUGCAACCCUCGUCCAUUGGGACGCCACAACGUGGAGUAGGCAAGUGUUGGACUUGGCUGAACCACGGGAUAAACCACUGUGCCACCUCUGUGUUGAUCUCUUUGUGGUUAUCGUGUUGUGCAAGCUCUCUUCUCUAGCCACUUGGCUUAAUUGUGCUAACUCCUAAUCAAGUUUUGUGGAUUAAGUUUCAAGUUUUCAUAGGAUCACCUAUUCACCCCCCCUCUAGGUGCUCUCAAUUGGUAUCGGAGCCAUUCUCUUCAAGAAAGGGACUAAUCGCCCGAAGAGAUGGAUCCUAAGGGCAAGGGGAUUGUGAUCAAUGAUAAGGAGAAGGAGUCCUUCGUCAACGAGCCAAAAGAUGACAAGCCUACCAACUCGGGCUCGGGCCACAAACGAAAAGAUGGAAAGAAGAAGAAGACGAGGCACAUCAAGGAGAUUGUCUACUACGACGACAGCGACGAGUCCUCUUCUUCCCAAAAGGACGACGACAACGACUACGAGAAAAAGAAGACGGUUAACUCAAACUUCUCUUUCAAUUAUUCUCGUAUUCCGCAUAGCUCAAAUGCACAUUUGCUUUCCAUUCCUCUUGGCAAACCUCCUCAUUUUGAUGGAGAGGACUACGGAUUUUGGAGUCACAAAAUGCGUAGUCACUUGUUCUCUCUCCAUCCUAGUAUAUGGGAGAUAGUAGAGAGUGGAAUGAAAUUUGAUAGCUCAGAUAGUCCGUUGUUUAUCAAUGAACAGAUUCAUAAAAAUGCACAAGCUACUACUGUGUUGUUAGCCUCAUUGUGCAGGGACGAGUACCAUAAGGUGAGCGGCUUGGACAAUGCCAAGCAGAUUUGGGACACCCUCAAGAUCUCACAUGAGGGGAACGACGUCACCAUGCUCACCAAGAUGGAGUUGGUGGAAGGCGAACUCAGGAGAUUCGCGAUGAUAAGAGGGGAGGAGCCAACCCAGACGUACAACAGGCUCAAAACUCUCGUCAACAAGAUAAGGAGCUAUGGAAGCACGCGAUGGACGGACCAUGACGUUGUCCGCCUAAUGCUAAGGUCCUUUACCGUCCUUGAUCCACAUCUUGUGAACAAUAUUCGUGAGAAUCCUAGGUACACGAAGAUGACGCCCGAGGAGAUCCUUGGAAAGUUCGUAAGCGGACGGAUGAUGAUCAAGGAGGCUAGAUACGUCGACGAUGCAUUAAAUGGCCCAAUCCAAGAGCCUCAAACUAUUGCUCUCAAGGCAACAAGGAGCAAGGAGGCGCUACCUAACAAGGUGGCGCAAGUUGAGGCGGUCGGGCUUAAUGAUGAAGAGAUGGCCCUCAUCAUCAAGCGGUUCAAGACGGCGCUAAAGGGUCGCAAGGAGCACCCCAACAAGAACAAGACGAAAGGGAAGCGCUCCUGCUUCAAAUGUGGUAAGAUUGGUCAUUUUAUCUCUAAUUGUCCCGAUAAUGAUAGUGACCAGGAAAAGAAGAGUGGAAAGUGGGAAAAGAAGAAGAACUACAAGAAGGCGAAGGACGAGGCACAUCUUGGAAAGGAGUGGGAUUCGGAUUGCUCCUCGUCCGACUCCGACAACGAAGGACUCACCGCCACCGCCUUCAACAAGUCAUCCCUCUUCCCCAACGAGCAUCAUACUUGCCUCAUGGCAAGGGAAAAGAAGGUAAGCACUCGUAAUACUAGUACUUAUGCUUCUUCAAGUGAGGAUGAGUCUAGUGAUGAUGAUGAAAUAGAUUAUUCAUGUUUAUUCAAGGGCCUAGAUAGAACUAAGGUUGAUAAAAUUAAUGAAUUAAUUGAUGCCUUGAAUGAUAAGAAUAGGUUAUUAGAAAAGCAAGAGGAUCUUUUGUAUGAAGAGCAUGAUAAAUUUGUUAGUGCACAAAAUUCUCUUGCUCUAGAAGUUAAAAGGAAUGAAAUGCUUUCUUGUGAAUUAUCUACUUGUCAUGAAACCAUUUCUACUUUAAAAGGUGUUAAUGAUGAUUUAAAUGCUAAACUAGAAGUAGCAAAUAAAUCUAACUCUUGUGUAGAACAUGUUAUGAUUUGCACUAGGUGUAAAGAUUUUAACGUUGAUGAUUGUAAUGAACACCUAGUUUCAAUUUCUAAAUUGAAUGAUGAAGUGGCUAGUCUUAAUGCCCAACUUAAGACUAGCAAGAGUGAAUUUGAUAAACUAAAAUUUGCAAGGGAUGCCUACACAGUUGGUAGACACCCCUCAAUUAAGGAUGGCCUUGGCUUCAAGAGGGAAGCCAAGAACUUGACAAGUCAUAAGGCUCCCAUCUCCAUCAAGGAGAAAGGGAAGGCCCCUAUGGCUAGUAGUGCUCAAAAGAACCAUGCCUUCAUGUAUCAUGAUAGGAGACAUUCUAGAAAUGUUUAUAGAAGUUAUGAUGCUUUUAAUUCUCAUACCAUGGUUGCUUCUAGUUCUUCUAUUAUGCAUGAUAGAAAUUUAGCUAGGAGAAAUGUUAUUAAUCACAUGCCUAGAAGAAAUGUUGUUCAUGUUUCUAGGAAAAUAAUAAAUGAACCUUCUACAAUUUAUCAUGCUUGCAAUGCUUCAUUCGAAAUUUGUAGAAAGGAUAGAAAAGUGAUUGCUAGGAAACUAGGGGCAAAAUGCAAGGGUGAUAAAACUUGCAUUUGGGUCCCUAAGGAUAUUGUCACUAACCUUGUAGGACCCAACAAGAGUUGGGUACCUAAGACCCAAGUCUAAAUUUGCCUUGCAGGUUUAUGCAUCCGGGGGAUCAAGCUGGAUUAUCGACAGCGGAUGCACAAACCACAUGACGGGGGAGAAGAAGAUGUUUACCUCCUACGUCAAGAACAAGGAUUCCCAAGAUUAAAUAAUAUUUGGUGAUGGGAAUCAAGGCAAGGUGAAAGGGUUAGGGAAAAUUGCUAUUUCAUCUGAGCACUCUAUUUCUAAUGUGUUUUUAGUUGAGUCGCUUGGAUAUAAUUUGUUAUCUGUUAGUCAAUUAUGCAGUAUGGGAUAUAAUUGUCUAUUCACAAAUGUAGAUGUGUCUGUCUUUAGAAGAAGGUGAUGGUUCAUUAGCUUUUAAGGGUGUAUUAGACGACAAACUCUAUUUAGUUGAUUUUGCAAAAGAGGAGGCCGGUCUAGAUGCAUGCUUAAUUGCUAAGACUAGCAUGGGCUGGCUGUGGCAUCGCCGCUUAGCACAUGUGGGGAUGAAGAACUUUCACAAGCUUCUAAAGGGAGAACACGUGAUAGGUCUAACUAAUGUUACCUUCGAAAAAGAUAGACCUUAUGCAGCUUGUCAAGCAGGGAAACAAGUGGGAAGCUCUCAUCAUGCCAAAAAUGUGAUGACAACAUCAAGACCCCUGGAGUUACUUCAUAUGGACCUCUUCGGACCCGUCGCCGAUCUAAGCAUAGGAGGAAGUAAGUAUGGUCUUGUUAUAGUUGAUGAUUUUUCCCGCUUCACUUGGGUAUUCUUUUUGCAGGAUAAAUCUGAAACCCAAGGGACCCUCAAGCGCUUCCUAAGGAGAGCUCAAAACGAGUUUGAGCUCAAGGUGAAGAAGAUCAGAAGCGACAAUGGGUCCGAGUUCAAGAACCUUCAAGUGGAGGAGUAUCUUGAGGAGGAAGGAAUCAAGCACGAGUUCUCCGCUCCCUACACACCACAGCAAAAUGGUGUGGUAGAGAGGAAGAACAGGACACUUAUAGACAUGGUGAGGACGAUGCUUGGAGAGUUCAAGACACCCGAGCGCUUUUGGGCGGAAGCCAUGAACACGGCUUGCCACGCCAUCAACCGGGUCUACCUUCAUCGCCUCCUCAAGAAGACUUCGUAUGAGCUACUAACCGGUAACAAACCCAAUGUUUCGUAUUUCCGAGUUUUUGGGAGUAAAUGCUACAUUCUAGUGAAGAAGGGUAGGAAUUCCAAAUUUGCUCCCAAAGCAGUAGAAGGGUUUUUGUUAGGUUAUGACUCAAAUACAAAGGCGUAUAGGGUCUUCAACAAAUCAUCGGGUUUGGUUGAAGUCUCUAGCGACGUUGUAUUUGAUGAGACUAAUGGCUCUCCAAGAGAGCAAGUUGUUGAUCUUGAUGAUGUAGAUGAAGAAGACGUUCCAACGGCCGCAAUGCGCACCAUGGCGAUUGGAGAUGUGAGGCCAAUGGAACAAAAGGAGCAAGAUCAACCUUCUUCCUCAACAACAGUGCAUCCCCCAACUCAAGAAGAUGAACAGGUUCAUCAAGAGGAGGCGUGUGAUCAAGGGGGAGCACAAGAUGUUCAUGUGAUAGAGGAAGAAGCGCAACCGGCACCUCCAACUCAAGUUCGAGCGACGAUUCAAAGGGUAGAAGAGGCCUUGCUAGAUCCGGACUGGGUGUUGGCCAUGCAAGAGGAGCUCAACAACUUCAAGAGAAAUUAAGUUUGGACACUGGUGCCUCGUCCCAAGCAAAAUGUUGUGGGAACAAAGUGGGUGUUCCGCAACAAACAAGACGAGCACGGAGUGGUGACAAGGAACAAGGCACGACUUGUGGCAAAAGGUUAUGCCCAAGUCGCAGGUUUGGACUUUGAGGAGACUUUUGCUCCUGUGGCUAGGCUAGAGUCCAUUCGUAUAUUGCUAGCGUAUGCCGCUCACCAUUCUUUCAGGCUGUUCCAAAUGGAUGUGAAGAGCGCUUUCCUCAACGGGCCAAUCAAGGAGGAGGUGUACGUGGAGCAACCCCUGGCUUUGAGGAUGAACGGUACCCCGACCACGUAUAUAAGCUCUCUAAGGCGCUCUAUGGACUUAAGCAAGCCCCAAGAGCAUGGUAUGAAUGCCUUAGAGACUUUUUAAUUGCUAAUGCUUUCAAGGUUGGGAAAGCCGAUCCAACUCUUUUUACUAAGACUUGUGAUGGUGAUCUUUUUGUGUGCCAAAUUUAUGUCGAUGACAUAAUAUUUGGUUCUACUAACCAAAAGUCUUGUGAAGAGUUUAGCAGAGUGAUGACUCAAAAGUUUGAGAUGUCAAUGAUGGGCGAGUUAAGCUACUUCCUUGGGUUCCAAGUGAAACAACUCAAGGAUGGGACCUUCAUCUCACAAUCGAAGUACACGCAAGACUUGAUCAAGCGAUUUGGGAUGAAGGAUGCCAAGCCCGCAAAGACUCCAAUGGGAACCGACGGACACACCGACCUCUACAAAGGAGGUAAGUCCGUUGAUCAAAAGGCAUACCGGUCUAUGAUAGGGUCUUUACUUUAUUUAUGUGCUAGUAGACUGGAUAUUAUGCUUAGUGUAUGCAUGUGUGCUAGAUUUCAAUCCGAUCCAAGGGAUUGUCACUUAGUGGCUGUGAAGCGAAUUCUUAGAUAUUUAGUCGCUACGCCUUGCUUCGGGAUCUAGUAUCCAAAGGGGUCUACCUUUGACUUGAUUGGAUAUUUAGACCCCGACUAUGCUGGAUGUAAGGUCGAUAGGAAGAGUACAUCGGGGACGUGCCAAUUCUUAGGAAGGUCCCUGGUGUCGUGGAGUUCAAAGAAACAAACUUCUGUUGCCCUAUCCACCGCUGAGGCCGAGUACGUUGCCGCAGGACAGUGUUGCGCGCAACUACUUUGGAUGAGGCAAACCCUCAGGGACUUUGGCUACAAUUUGUGCAAAGUCCCACUCCUAUGUGAUAAUGAGAGUGCUAUCCGCAUGGCGGAUAAUCCUGUUGAACAUAGCCGCACAAAGCACAUAGACAUCCGGCAUCACUUUUUGAGAGACAACCAGCAAAAGGGAGAUAUCGAAGUGUUUCAUGUUAGCACCGAGAACCAGCUAGCCGAUAUCUUUACCAAGCCUCUAGAUGAGAAGACCUUUUGCAGGUUGCAUAGUGAGCUAAAUGUCUUAGAUUCGCGGAACUUGGAUUGAUGUGUAGCAUACAUGUGUUUUAUGCCUUGAUCAUGUUCCUUAAUGCAUUUUGUUGAUUAAUUAUGGUGCUCAAGUUGUACAAGCACUCCCCGGACCUCACAAGUCCAUUUGCAAGUGAUGCACAUAUUUAGGGGGAGUUGUGCUACAACUUGACCCUUUGAGACUAACUGUGUGCUUGAGUUUGCUUAAUUUAGUCUCAAAGGAGGUUGAAAGGGAAAAGGUGGACUUGGACCAUGCAAGACCUCCACUGCACUCCGAUGAAAGAGUAACUGAUUCCAAGUUCAUCUUUGUACUCUUAUUGCCUUUUUUACUCUUAGUUGAAGAUUUUGGUGAGGCAAUGGGGUUAAAGGGCCAAAAUUGAUCCCGUUUUGGUGCUUGAUGCCAAAGGGGGAGAAAAUAAGGCCAAAGCAAGGAAAUGGAUCAGCUACCACUUGAGAAUUUUGAAAAAGAAGAGUUAGAGUUUUUGUUUGUCAAAAUACUCCUGUUUGUCUCUUAUUGUCAAAAGUUGGUCUCUUGUGGGGGAGAAGGCUUAAUUAUGGGAAAAAGGGGGAGUUUUUGAACUCUUUGAUGAAUUUCUCUUGAAAUAUCUCUCUUUAUGUUUCAACAAGUGUGUUUAGAAAUUGAGUUUGAUUUGCAAAAACAAACCAAGUGGUGGCAAAGAAUGAUCCAUAUAUGUCAAAUCUGAAUCAAAACAAUUUUGAGUUCUUAGUUGAAUUGAUUUUGCACUUGUUCUACUUACUUUAUGUUGUGUUGGCAUAAAUCACCAAAAAGGGGGAGAUUGAAAGGGAAAUGUGCCCUUAGGCCAUUUCUAAGUAUUUUGGUGAUUUAGUGUCCAACACAAGUGCCUAAGUGUUAAAUGGUGGACAAAGUACAAAUCGAGUAUAAAGGUAUGUUUCUUAGACUUAGUACAUUGUUUUAGAGACUAAUGUAUUAUGUCUAAGUGCUGGAAACAGGAUAAUCAAGUUGAAACUAAAGAUGGCUUUGUUCAGCCAAAGUCAACUCUGUCUGGGUGCACCGGACUGUCCGGUGGUGCACCGGACAGUGUCCGGUGCGCCAGGCUAGCUCAGGCAAACUUGCUGCUCUCGGGAAGUGAUUAACGGCGUACGACUAUAAUUCACCGGACUGUACGGUGUGCACCGGACUGUCCGGUGAGCCAACGGUCGGCCGGGCCAACGGUCGGCCGCGCGAUUCGCGCGAGACACGUGGCCGAGCCAACGGUUAGAAGGGGGCACCGGACUGUCCGGUGUGCACCGGACAGUGUCCGGUGCGCCAACGGCUCUCAAGUGCCAACGGUCGGCUUCGCCGAAGAAGGAAAGAAAUCCGCACCGGACAGUGUCCGGUGCGCCAGGCGACAGAAGGCAAGAAUUGCCUUCUUGAAUUGCUCUCAACGGCUCCUAGCUGCCUUGGGGCUAUAAAAGGGACCCCUAGGCGCAUGGAGGAGAACACCAAGCAUUCUCUAAGCAUUCCUAAGCACCAAGACUUCGAUUCCGCGCAUUUGAUUCUUUGUGAUAGCAAUUGGAGCUCUAUUUGAGUUGUGAACUCAUCGAGUUGUGUUGUGAGCUCUUGUUGCGACUUGUGUGCGUGUUGUCGCUCUAAUUUUGUGUCUUGUGUGCGUUGCUCAUCCCUUCCUUACUCCGUGCUUCUUUGUGAACAUCAAAGUGUAAGGGCGAGAGACUCCAAGUUGUGGAGAUUCCUCGCAAGUGGGAUAUAGUAAAGUGAAAGCAAAACACCGUGGUAUUCAAGUGGGUCUUUGGACCGCUUGAAAGGGGUUGAUUGCAACCCUCGUCCAUUGGGACGCCACAACGUGGAGUAGGCAAGUGUUGGACUUGGCCGAACCACGGGAUAAACCACUGUGCCACCUCUGUGUUGAUCUCUUUGUGGUUAUCGUGUUGUGCAAGCUCUCUUCUCUAGCCACUUGGCUUAAUUGUGCUAACUCCAAAUCAAGUUUUGUGGAUUAAGUUUCAAGUUUUCACAGGAUCACCUAUUCACCCCCUCUAGGUGCUCUCAAAGCCGGGCUGCGGCUUCCCUCCUGCCCUCAGCUUCAAGGAUGUUCAUCAUCCUCGCUGGGGCGGAAGGCGCGUCGAGCCGGGGUUCUGCCUCCCGUGUGGGCCAGCGGCCCGCUUCUUCCUCCAACAUUUGGGGGAGGAGAGGGGUUCAACAGCCACGCGAAGGAGGCGAACUUCGGCUAUGCGGGGCCGGCCAUGUGCAGGCGCUGACAGCUGCCGCGUGCCUGGCUCUUGGCCUGGGUGGCCCUGUCGCCGCCUCCGACGCUGCCUCCUGCCGUUUGGUCGGGGCGUGGCUGUCCGUCCACCACACGGGCGACCGUCGCGCCGUGCGCGGGUCCGCCACAUCCACGGCUUCUCCCGCGCCGCCGGCCAUACGGGGGGACCGUCCAAGACGCCGUACGUUGCGAGAGUGGUGGUGGCGUUCUUGGAUGGUCUUGUCCUCACUCCGUGGGAGGACGGGAGCGAGGACCUCUUAUGCGGAGGUGGCCGUGGUCGUCGGUGCUGAGGCGGUGGCUGCCGCUGGUGAGGCUGCCCCUUGCAGAGGUGGUUGCCUCCUCUAUCGAGACCAUCAGGGCCACCUGCCACUGAGUCCUUGACUCUUUGGCUUUAAUGGCCUCGUUAUCGCCCCCUAUAGGAGGACGGGGGCGAGGACCUUUCACAGCCGCGCUCACCCUGAGGUGGUCGCUGCUGCUGGCAUACCGCCCAAAGCGGAGGUCGUUGUCGCUGCUGAUGCAGAGGUGGUCGCUGUUGCCGGCGAUCCGUCGAUGCAGAGGUGGUCGCCGCCGCUGGUGAGGCAGCCCGGAGCCAGCUUCCAGCGCGACUCUUGUUGGUGCAGCGUAGUCCAUUCCUGCAGAGAUGGAGCUGGGUCCCGUUUGUAAGGGAAUGUAAUAACAUUUGCUUGAAAGCAAAAUGUAAUAACAUAUGUAUGCAGGAUUUUAGCCUGGGAAACCAAGUUGUGUGUCCGAACCCCCUAGAUGGUGGCUUCAUGUACCAAGACACCUGUCGCAGGGCGGUGGAGUAUGCAGGCUCACGGCACGGGACCAGGCUGAGUGGAUACAUGGCUUCCGGACCCCCCAGGAGACAAGUGUUUGUUCUUCAAAACCGGACCUCCAGUUCGUUGGACGCACAGGACUAUAGUUUUAAAUACUAGAACACCUGUCAUGGAGUGGUGGAGUGUGCAGGGUUUUGGGUACGGAACCAGGCUAACCGGCCACAUAGGCUCUGGACCACCCUAUGGAACAGGCAUCCGUUCCUUAGAACCGACCCCUAGGCCUUCCCCUGUUUUUGUAAAGUAAUAGAUAAUAUCUAUUAAGCAGUAUUUAACACUUAUCUGUGUGUUGCUCGAUCCUGUUGUUAACUUCCCUUGGUACCUGGCCCCCCGCCUGGGGUACAGGCUCGAUGUGUCGAGGCUAGACACCAGCGCGUAUAAAAGAGUUGUCAACGUCCUUCGGGAGGCAGCCUCACCGAGACCUGGAUCUAUACAUAGCUUUAGCUGAAAAGUGUUAGUGAUACACCCGUAGACCCCGUCAUCUGGCAUUUUUCAUCCUUUGAUACAUGCUCGGUAUUUGCAGUGUUUUGGCUAGGGGAAGCAAGUUGUGUGUCCGGACCCCCUGGAUGGUGGUUCUAGAUACUAGGACGCUUGUCACAGAGUGGUAGAACAUGCAGGCCCACGGUACGGGACCAGGCUGAGCGGCUACAUGGUUCCGGACCACCCCAGGAGACAAGCGUCUCUUCUCUAGUUUCAGACCCCAAGUUGUCGGACCCACAGGACUUAUAGCUCUAAGUACAAGGGUGCUCAUCACGGAGUGUUGGAGUGUGCAAGGUUUUGGGUACGGAACCAGGCUAACCGGCCGCACAGGCUCCGGACCACCCCAUGAAACGAGCACUCGUUCCUCAGAGCCGGCCCCCAGACUGUCGGGUCCCCCCUGCUUUCACAUAGAGGUCCUAAACUACAACUCUGGCUGUUCAAUCCAGAUGUCAUUAUGCCUGGUGGGAUGGGAGCAGGGCAGGUGGGUUAGAUAAAACACUAUCAGAAACUGCAGGGUGAGACCGUGGAGCAGUAGGAAAUUGCUAUCAUAGAGGCAUAUCUUGAGAGGGUAGUUUUCCUUUAUAGCUAAUCAUGCAUGGGUGCAGGCCAACAGGCCGGGUUUAUGGGGCACACCCUACCGGGUUGGCACACCCGUGUGCACUACCUAGUUACAAAAAGGGAAAAACUUUGACCCCUUAGACUUGCUCUAUAGAUAAAACUUACAGAGAUAUUUUGACAUUGGGGGAGGCAUUCCUUCAGUCGUAGCUAGACAGUUGCCCUUGGGUCGGGGUACUCACAUUACCAUGAAGGGUCCUUCCCAGCUGGGGGAGUGUUACGGAGCCCUAAUUUGGUCUGGUACCUUUGUAGGAUUAGGUCCCGACCCUGGGUUCCCAUCUGCAUUUGACGAAGGAGGCCCCGCCUUUGGCUGUGGUCAUUCCUGGAUGAACCUAUCAGAAAGCUGGACCCGUGGGGAAUCCAGAUGGGUUUCUGGAGGAAGGUUGUCACACCCGGUUUUGGAAGGCAAACCGAAUGCGAACUAUGUACGUGCCAGGAUCAGAAUUCACGUACACAGCGAUUACAUAAAUGAACAUCAUCGCACAGUGCUCGAAUAAAAACAUGAAAGGGUAUUAACUUAUUACAUCACAGAGUCAUAGACAUCCACAUAGUCAUCAACUUAACAGUUAAAUCAAAGUGCUAGCGAAACACAGUAAAGAUAAGGCCUUCACAGGCAGCUGACUGGGGGUUGCCGCCAACCCACACCUAGAAUUCGUCGUAGUCUUGAAACUCCUGGAAGUCUCCUUCCACGACUUCGUCUUCUCCUGAGCAGUGGUUGCAAUGUGGACAACCUGGUGUUUGGUGGUAAAGCAAGGAUGAGUACACAUCAACGUACUCAGCAAAUGUCCCGUUUGGCUGAAGUGGACUAGCUUUAUGUGGGGCUAGGCUCAAGCAGUUGCUUUUAGUUGGUCAGGUAUUUAUUAUUAGUAGGAGCCAGGUUUUAUCAUAAAACCCAAGUUAUAAUCCCAAAAAGUACUUCCUCAGAGAAGAAAUACUAGAAAACAUAAUUAAAGUCACCAUCUGAAGUGUAUCCGGAGUAUCUCUAAUCAAAGAGGAUCCCAAGGCUGCUCUUAACCGUGAGCACGGCUGAUAUACUAGUUUCACUACCCUCUGCAGAGGUCGCACACUUUACCCAUGAGCCGUGAUUCCCUCUCUAGCCCGGGCUUGCAAGACCCUUAUUCACUCCCAAGGUGAAUGGCCAGGGAUUCACUACGAAGCCUUUACAAAGAUUCCCUAGAGGUCAUAGCUGCCCGUUAGGUUUCUCCAGUUUGAUAAACACAGUACCUCUCCCCGCAGGAAGGUGACUAAAAAGCAAAACGAAAGAACCUCGGCACUCAGCCUCGGUAGAGCAAGCACUGUGCCUGGACCCCAUUGACGGCACGACGGCGAAGCAACUACACUUCUAGUUCCUCUAAUUAAUUAGCUAAGGGCACCCCAUUCCACCCUCAUGGUUGCACUGUUAUCCCGGGUGGUCUCUCAACGAACAGGUCCUUAUGGAGAGGUACUCGAGAAACUGCUCGAGUCCCCUAAAUGCCACAAGUACAUCAUCAUAUCCAGAAUAAAAUCAUAGUAUCAUCAUUGUAUCUCAUAAUGUUCAUUGAUUAAAGUAAAGCGCUAGCAUGUAGCUAACCAUAGUAACCCAAAAGGUAAAUCAAGGACAAGGUGAAUAGAAAGCUAGUAAAUCCUUAGGUUUCAAUUAAGUAAUGCGGGAUAGUGAAUUAUAAGUGAAUAGGACAUAAUGGGUCAGAGGACACUUGCCUUCACCAAAUAGAUGCUCAGGGUCUUCAACCUUGCAGAACUCGAAGAACCAGGUCACUUGGUCACCGAAGCUUGACCGUCGAUUCCUCGAAGCUCGAAAACGGAUCAUAAUCUAAUCGCAACGCGAAGCGAAGACAAACAGGCACAAGCAAACAAACAUAUAUAUGCAUAAGAACGUUACACCAUGCCAAAGAGAACAUAAUAAAAACAUGCAAUACGAAAUAGAGCUCGCUACUACGGUCACGCAAGGAAAAGAACACGAUAGUCUGAGCUAUGGUCGAGAGGUUAUGACGUUUACGCUACGCUAGUAAUAGUCAGGACAUUUAAUUCGACAUUUUCAAAUAUAACUUAUAACUGUCAUUUAGUUUUGAUUAAAUUUAUUACACUAAUAGCUGUCAAAUAAGUAAGUAAUAUAGUUAGCACGAGAGAUUUUAAGCGAGGUGAGUUUACGAUGCAGGAAAAAGCAUGACAUAGCACGCUGACAACACACCAAACGAUGCGCGCGACCAGCGUGAACGACGCGCGAACCAGCACGCCACCACGAGCACAUUACGCGUGAACAGCGUGCAGACAGUGCGACGAUGUGUGAUACUCGCUAACAUAUAACGAGACUAUACUAACCAAGUAUUAAAUGAAAAGUGUUUAAGUUGGUGUUCAUCAAGUUAACAUUUAUCUAUAAAAUCGUGAGUUAGAAAUUAUAAACUAGUUUUAAUUAGAAGACCAUUUUUAAUAAGUAUUGAAUGAACAAAUAAUUAAAUAAUUAAAUAAUUAAAACUUGUGACAUGAUAAAAUACAUUACUAAUACGAAAUCGACGCGACUGAACAAUUAAUUUAGAACAAACACGUUAUGCCGCAGCGAAUCGAUAUCAUGUCUACACUAACCAAACAUAAAUGGUAGACUAACCAAACAUGAAUGAAAACGCUUCGGAUUGAUACAACUACCUUAAUAGAUAUUAACGAAGCGUAGAAUUAAAAUUACAAAUUUGUUUUCGGUUGAAUUGUUAUUUUAAUAACCGACCACUAAACAACUAAUUACUAAUUAAUAAUUUAACAUGCAUGAAGUGGCGAAAUGAUUUUACUAAAACGCGCAACUAGCGAUUUGCGUGAAAGACGGCACGAGCGAAACAUACGAGAAAUACUAAAUAGAGAGUGUGUUUAUACUAAAGAAGUAUUAUUUCGAAAACAUUCUAUUAGACGUAAUUAUAUUAACAUGUAUUUAUAAAGUGAAUCUAAACUAUAAAUGAGUUCAAUUAAUUGCUACUUUAAUAAUUGUCAGAUAAAUAGAUGACCAAUUAAUUAACAUUAGAAAGUGCAUGAUGAUAAAGUAAUGUUACCUAAUACAUCGUUAAUAUAGCUCUACGAAGCUAACACAAAAGAAAUAAGUCGAAACGGAUUUACAACACAAAUAUAUUGGAUAUUUAAUGGUUCGCGGAAUCUAAACGAUGUGGCACGCAACAGCGCGCGCAAACCGCACGUGAACAGUAACAAUGACACAUGCGGAUAGCACAAGCAGUCCGUGCGACAACUCGCGGGCAGUGCACGGGCAACAGCGCAAGACGCGAACUCGCAAACGCUACAAAGAUGCGACGACGUGCGCGAACAACACGACAAGCGGGAAAUCAUUAACAGAUAUCGUGCUUAGAAUGAACACAUAUUAAACAAAUAUAAACAUUUAAUUUGGCUUAAAUCAUGUUAACGUCCAUUUACACGUGCGCAAAUUAAAACUAUACAUUAGUUUUAAUUAGAUCUCUACUUUAACAUCCAUCAGAUAAACAAACAAACAAUUAAUUAGUUAAAACACUUGUCACGAUAAAAUAAUAUUAUUAACUCGCCGGUAACGUUAUUACAAAGCUAAUGCAAGUUGAACAAAGGGAAUCGAAUUUUAUAACGCAACAUAUAUUAAUUAUUUAGUACUUCACUGAUUUUAAACGACGUGGCUAAUUAUUAUUGGUUAGAGGCUGGCCACACCUAUGGUCACACGAAACACAGCCAUAGAGGAUCCCAAGCUUAGGAUCACAUGUGGCUAGCUUCUUCUCUGUUGUAACCGCACAACGCAGAACGCACGACGGUUCUUCUUCCUUGGAGUUUGGACAGGAAAACUGGCAUGGGGAAGAGGGAAGGAGGGGCCAGCUGAGGCCUCACCGGCCAGCUAGCCAGGCCGCCGCGGGGUAGAGGGAGUUGGGUCUGGCCGCUAGCCGGGCCACGCCGCGGCUGCCAGGUUGGGGCGCCGGGCGAGGGCGCUGAUGGACGGACGGCUGGUCGCGGUGCGCGGCGGCUCGCCGGGGCUGCUGGUCGCCACGCCGGGCAAGCCGUGCCUGUUGCUGCGCGCGCUGGCCGCUGCGCUGGGUGAGCCACCGGCUGGCCGCGCCGAGGACGAGGCCAGGCUCGCGCGCCAGCCUAGGGAGCUCGUCGGGGAAGGGCCUCAGCCAUGGCUACGGCACGGCGGCGUACCGCGAGCAGGGCCCGAGGGGCUCCCCGCCGGGGCCAGGGAGAGGGAUGGGAGAAGAACGCGUGGGGAGGGAGAGGAAGAAGGAUCCGUGAGUACCUGGUAACAGUCGCCCUUCACGCCUGCGAUCUGGAUCUGGGGAAACGAUCUGGAUCUGGGGGAAGUCAGGAGGUUUUGCGAUGGCUAGAGUAGUAUUUGUAGAAAAGAGAGGAUGUGGAAGGCGGUUGUAAAAUUUGUCGCAGGUUGCGUCCUGGCCGAGCCAAAGCGACGAUCGCGCGAUGAGUUGCACGAUACAGUAAACGACGGAGACCGAGUUAGGCAGAGGUAGGCGAUGGUAGAUGAAAUAAAGGGGUAACAGGUGUGCGAGCAGCAAACGUUCACGAGGAGGAAAUCCGGUUUGACGACCUCGCGAAAAUGACACAAAUCAUAGAACGAGUUCGACGAGAGGAACACAU
rnacentral:lncRNA from 1 species